rnacentral:rRNA from 1 species
GGUGUGUACUGGUCUUUCCGUCCUUCCUUCUGGUUUUGCUGCCUUCUGCUCUUAACUGAGCGGGAGGUCUAGCUCCAGAUCGUUUACUUUGAAAAAAUUAGAGUGUUCAAAGCAGGUACCAAAAACUUUUACGCCUUGAAUACAUUAGCAUGGGAUAAUAGAAUAGGACAUCGCUCUUUAUUUUUGUUGGUUUCUAAGAGCGGCGUAAUGAUUAAUAGAGAUAGUUGGGGGUAUUCAUAUUUAAUUGUCAGAGGUGAAAUUCUUGGAUUUAUGAAAGAUGAACUCCUGCGAAAGCAUUUAUCAAGGAUGUUUUCAUUAAUCAAGAACGAAAGUUAGGGGAUCGAAGACGAUCAGAUACCGUCGUAGUCUUAACCAUAAACUUUGCCGACCAGAGAUCAGGAGACGUUACAUGGAUGACUCCCCUGGCAUCUUGCGAGAAAUCACAAGUCUUUGGGUUCUGGGGGGAGUAUGGUCGCAAGGCUGAAACUUAAAGGAAUUGACGGAAGGGCACCACCAGGAGUGGAGCCUGCGGCUUAAUUUGACUCAACACGGGGAAACUUACCAGGUCCAGACAUAGUAAGGAUUGACAGAUUGAGAGCUCUUUCUUGAUUCUAUGGGUGGUGGUGCAUGGCCGUUCUUAGUUGGUGGAGUGAUUUGUCUGCUUAAUUGCGAUAACGAACGAGACCUUAACCUGCUAAAUAGCCAGGCUAGCUUUGGCUGGUCGCCGGCUUCUUAGAGGGACUAUCGG